AUACGUAGCUGGCAGGGGAGAGUCCAUGAUCAUGAAGGUGGUUUUCCCAGGGCGAGGCUUAUCCAUCACACUCUGGAUGUGCUGACCCUUGCGAUUUCACCAAAUGUGGGAAGCUUGACUGCGUAACUUUUGGUAGUGGGGGACUGCGUUCGCUCUUUCCUUGG